CGCUGGCGGCGUGCCUAACACAUGCAAGUCGAACGGGGUAGUUCCUUCGGGGACUACUUAGUGGCGAACGGGUGAGUAACGCGUGAGAAACCUGCCCUCAAGACUGGGAUAACCGAUGGAAACGUCCGCUAAUACCGGAUAGGUAAUAGGAAGGCAUCUUCUUAUUAUUAAAGAUGGGACACAUCGCUUGAGGAUGGAUCUGCGCUGCAUUAGCUAGUUGGUGGGGUAACGGCCCACCAAGGCGAUGAUGCAUAGCCGGCCUGAGAGGGUGAACGGCCACAUUGGGACUGAGACACGGCCCAAACUCCUACGGGAGGCAGCAGUGGGGAAUAUUGCGCAAUGGGGGAAACCCUGACGCAGCAACGCCGCGUGCAGGAAGAAGGUCUUCGGAUUGUAAACUGUUGUCGCAAGGGAAGAAGACAGUGACGGUACCUUGUGAGAAAGUCACGGCUAACUACGUG
rnacentral:rRNA from 1 species